CUUCACCGAGCCGAGCAGCAGCGGACGGUCCGGGUCCCGGUCCUGCCCGUACGUGGCGAGCAGCGCCUGCGCCUC
rnacentral:antisense_RNA from 2 species